CCAGUCGCGCUUAGAGAUUCAUUCACCAAGAAAGGCCAGCAACAACAUCGGCUCUAAUUGACUCGUUCUACUCAUCGAUGACUUCAGAGAUGAAGAGCCUUGGAGAGCCUGCUGUGCAGCAAAAAAAAUGGAGCGAGGAAUGUGACGGUGACCAAGACCCAAGAUUGGAUCGAUUUUCGUUCCUUACAAGUUGCGAAAUAGCCGCGUGAGAGUGAACGGGAAACGAGACGAGGCCACGCUGAACGAUGACCGAGUGAGUUUGGAAAGACGAUACACAAAUGUGUUCGAGGAGACGCGUCUCGUACAUCUUCUGCUAAUGAAGAUACGAAGGGCUAUUCGACAGGCGUUUUUUAUUCAUCGGUCAUACAUUGAUGGAACAGUUUGCGCUGGAAUCCGACCGACAGCGACUCCGGGAAGCGUCUUCGACGUUUAAUUGCACAUCGACGAGGAGUGCUCCAAUUAAGCCGACCGGAAGCUGCGUCCUCGAGACCGAGAGAGGCCAACGAGGGCGGCACCAAAUACGUUGACAUCUUGAUGCAUCGUGGAUCUUGUGUACUAUCCUCCCAACAAAAAUCCGCCUAAUUGAUUAACCUGAGGGCUAACCAUCGAAAGUUCGGAUAGCUGCGAACAUUUUUCGUGCUGAAAAAAGCAUUGAAACGUUGCUGCAUUUGCAAUAUUGAACUUUUUAGAAGUUUCAAAAUCUUCGUCUCUUUCUUACCCCCAAAAACUAAGAAUUGUACUGCAAGUUUUUGCAAUUUUAAAGAGAAAACAAAAUUUGUGACAUCUCUUUUUACUGCAAUUUUAAUCCAAGAAAUAGUUAUUCGCAUGAUCGUAUUUUUUGGUGGCGCAAACCAAGACCCUUUAUUUUAAUCGUCGCUUUGGAGUUCUUGCAUUUUUUCCUAUCCGCGAGAAGUUUGUAUGAGGAAUUCAUAAUUUUUCGGUACAUGAAUCAUUGAAUAUGAAUCUCCAUAAGCUUCUGUAUAAAUUUUACAGUUUUUCAAG